rnacentral:rRNA from 1 species
UACGUAGGGUGCAAGCGUUGUCCGGAAUUAUUGGGCGUAAAGAGCUCGUAGGCGGUUUGUUGCGUCGGCUGUGAAAUCCCGAGGCUCAACCUCGGGUCUGCAGUCGAUACGAGCAAACUAGAGUGUUGCAGGGGAGACUGGAAUUCCUGGUGUAGCGGUGAAAUGCGCAGAUAUCAGGAGGAACACCGGUGGCGAAGGCGGGUCUCUGGGCCGUAACUGACGCUGGAGGAGCGAAAGCGUGGGGAGCGAAACAGG